UAACAUUGAGGGCUGGUGCUGAAUUAGAAUUCCUGAAAAAGCUUGAAUUUUGGCAGGGCUGUCUGAGAACCGGGCACCUGGCCUACUAAGAAACUUAAAGCUUUGAUGUUUAAUCUGUAUUUAAGCUAAAACAGCUUAAACCAGCAAUGGAGGUGCUCUUUGAUGUGGCCAUCAUAGGGAAGAAGGAGAGAGUCAUAAAUAAGUGAACUUUCGGAGUUACCCCGUCAUUACACGGCCACAUGGACCGGGCUCGGCAACCUUUCCGGUCCAGAGGUCGUAAACCCACCACAGGCUACACAAACAAGGCCGUGAAGCACCAAAGGAGAAAUUUCACCGCACACACAGUCCAGCUAGGUCUUCAUUGCUCCCUGCUGUUCAGGCCUGUGGGAGCUGACCAACCGAACAGGCCUUUUCUCGCGCUCGGGACGGCGCUGCGGCCCGGAGGCCGCCGAAUGACAUGUGCUUUGACAGCUUGAGAUCUGCCUCCAGAUGUAUCUCAGAUAAGCUUUCCACCUGGUGACAGGACACAGGCGAGUGCUUUGGACACACACAUCACCAUUGCGGGCACUUGUGGCUUUUUCUAAUCCAGUGGUGCCCCAUAAAAACACCAUGGCUGUCAGGCUCUAUCGUCACUCACAGACUUUUAUGGCGGUGGAACAAAGAGUCGAGCAAUCAG